AUCAGUUAUUGGAUGAGAGUGAGCUGUGUAGCUACAUACACGCGUUUUCUCAUUACUUUAGCGCUGCUUACGGAUACGAGAGUCUAAGAAAAUGUGGUUGCCACAUCUUGGACUGACAGAUCAAGACAGAGAUGACAUCCUCCAGGGCAUCGAUCUGACCGGUGACAUUCCUGAUGCUGCUCUGCAUAUACUGCGCAAGCGAUUUAAGAUCCAAGGCUUGCAAGCCACAGCAAAAGCAGAGUUUGGCUCCUUCGACGCUGUUUCUGGGCCGGCUGUGCAGAUCCACCCAGAUCUGGAUCUCUCACACUGCUUUGUGUCUUGUUUUCGGAAUGGACGCAUACAAAUUGCCGACAGUGGUGGAUGGCAGCUUACCCCCUGUGCCAGCAAACAGCUGCUAGACCUCUACGGGACU